UCCUUCGUGGCGCAAUUGGCUAGCGCGUUCGACUGUUACCUUAGUUACCGCAUCUGUGGUUGUUCGGUCAUCGAGAGGUUGGUGGUUCAAGCCCACCCGAAGGAG